rnacentral:rRNA from 1 species
AUUGAACGCUGGCGGCAGGCCUAACACAUGCAAGUCGAGCGGAUGAAGGGAGCUUGCUCCUGGAUUCAGCGGCGGACGGGUGAGUAAUGCCUAGGAAUCUGCCUGGUAGUGGGGGAUAACGUCCGGAAACGGGCGCUAAUACCGCAUACGUCCUGAGGGAGAAAGUGGGGGAUCUUCGGACCUCACGCUAUCAGAUGAGCCUAGGUCGGAUUAGCUAGUUGGUGGGGUAAAGGCCUACCAAGGCGACGAUCCGUAACUGGUCUGAGAGGAUGAAUAGGCACACUGGAACAUAGACACGGUCCAGACUCCUACGGGAGGCAGCAGUGGGGAAUAUUGGACGAUGGGCGACAGCCUGAUCCAGCCAUGCCACGUGUGUGAAGAAGGUCUUCGGAUUGUAAAGCACUUUAAGUUGGGAGGAAGGGCAGUAAGUUAAUACCUUGCUGUUUUGACGUUACCAACAGAAUAAGCACCGGCUAACUUCGUG